UAUAUAAGCUGAGAACCACCCGGCUUACACUUUCUGGUUCUCAUCGCAGCCUUUGAAGAAUUACGCAAAGCCAUAGAAUUUGAGCUGCAGAAAGAGACCGAUUUCGAAGCCUUUUCACCAUGAGAGCUAAGUGGAAGAAGAAGCGUAUGAGAAGGUUGAAGAGGAAGAGGAGAAAGAUGAGGCAAAGAUCUAAGUAAUCCAACUUUAGAAAGCUAGUAAUUUCGGAUCUCUGGUUCUUCAGAUUUAGAGAUGUUUGAUGGAUAUUUUACUCUUAAAAAAAGAAAUUGCGUUGUUGUCUAUAACCAACCAUUUCAAUCUUAUGGAAACAUGUUAUUUGAGCUUUUGAUAAAUUCUUAUGGUUUUGGAUUUU